rnacentral:misc_RNA from 1 species
GUCCGCCUUUGCAACGAAAUUUGUAUCAAUUGGGAAAGAACUAGCGUGUGCAUCUUAUGGCGUUCUGACCCUGAGUCCUCAGUCCUCAUCCAAACUGCCCUUCGCUACUGCUGCCUCCCUCUAAUAAUUUUUUGUAGCUAGAACUAGAAGACAGUAUUGAGCAAGAAAGUAGAAGAUGUUUGGAUCUGCAGUUAGAUACUUUUCAACGAAACCAAAGCC